GUGGGGAAUAUUGGACAAUGGGCGAAAGCCUGAUCCAGCCAUGCCGCGUGUGUGAAGAAGGUCUUCGGAUUGUAAAGCACUUUAAGUUGGGAGGAAGGGUAGUAACCUAAUACGUUGCUACUUUGACGUUACCGACAGAAUAAGCACCGGCUAACUUCGUGCCAGCAGCCGCGGUAAUACGAAGGGUGCAAGCGUUAAUCGGAAUUACUGGGCGUAAAGCGCGCGUAGGUGGUUCAGUAAGUUGGAAGUGAAAUCCCCGGGCUCAACCUGGGAACUGCUUUCAAAACUGCUGAGCUAGAGUACGGUAGAGGGUGGUUGAAUUUCCUGUGUAGCGGUGAAAUGCGUAGAUAUAGGAAGGAACACCAGUGGCGAAGGCGACCACCUGGACUGAUACUGACACUGAGGUGCGAAAGCGUGGGGAGCAAACAGGAUUAGAAACCCGGGUAGUCC
rnacentral:rRNA from 1 species